rnacentral:lncRNA from 1 species
GCUGCCGGGCCUGGGAGAGAUGCCAAGGGCGUAGCGCCCGAAUUUCGUUUGCGCGGAACAGCUCCCUUUGGCUUUUCCCGGUUCCCACAAGUCCCCGAGUUGCGGAUUUUGAGGAGUCCCUCGCCAACCCACACCCACCAAUGCUCAAUUCUUUCAGGGCCUCCCCACGCACUUUCACGUCCAUCAGGUCGCCCCGCCCUCUCCCGUCCCACGAGGCCUCCCCCUACACCCCCCGCCACGUGGUCAAGCUGGGCCCUCGCCCCUCGCACUGGCUCCGGACUCUGCGGGCCCCAGCAGCCCCUCCAUCCCCGAGCCCCGUUUUCUUCCUUCCGCGGCUGCCUCCUCCUCUUCCUCUUCGCAGGGCCUCCACGUAUUUCUCGUGCGUUUGGGGAGGGGCGGGCCGCCACAGCCUCGGUGGCCGAAGAGGCCGCCACGACCACCCCUCAUCCCCGCGAACUACAGCGCCGCCGCCCGCGUGCUCGCGAGCGAGCCCACGGGCCAAGGGCACGAGGGCAGGGGGAGCCGUGGGACGCAGCCCUCCCGUUCGUUUGGCAAACGGGGCUGCCUGCGUCGGGGCCCAACGAGGAAGGGAGCCCCUGGGGGUGCCACGCACCGGAAGCCUCUCUGACCCUCACCGUGUCUCCGUUUUGCCGAAGAGGGAGCUGCGGUGAAGGGCGCGGCGGGCCCCUCAGCGCCACAGCAAGGCCACGGAGGAGCAGCCAUGUGCAAGCACCGUGGACCACACUGACACUGCUCCUGCUACAAGCUAAGGGCUCCAGAAAAGAACAGACCCUCAGGACACAGCUGGUAAAUGCCAUGUGCUGUGGGCGUGGGGGGACAGACAAGGUGUUCCAGAUAACUUCCGGGGCAGAGGGUGGAUGGAGACUUGGUUUGAGACAUCUCUGCGGGGGAGCUCCAGGGCAGCAGCGGGUUGGGUGGCUGCGGAGGUUGGGCGGCGUGGGGUACAACACUUGUGUGUGUUUAUGUGUGUGUGUGUGUGUGUGCAUGGGAAGGGCUGAGAUGUGCAUCAUUAUCAGAAUUAUCAGAGCAAACCGACUCUUUAUUACGUGUAUAAUUUCCCUGUGUCCCAUCAGGUCCCCCGUGCACGGGGAGCUGGGAGCUGGAGUGGAACUGAACCAAAUAGGGGAUUUAGCAACUUUGAAGGGCUGAGGCAGAGCUUAAAGUACUAAUGAUGGAUGGUGAUGGCAGGUGGGGAGUGUCACCAGUGAUGGAGAGAGAGUGGAGGAGGGGAUGUUGGUUAGGAUGGGGGCAGGGACCAGGGUCAAGCCCCACCUUCUGGGAGGAGGUCUGGGAGAAAGUCCAAGGACAGAAAGUUCCCCAGGAAAGCUUGGGGAAAGAAAGAGGGAGGGAGUGGGAAAGCCCAGCCCAGUCCAGCCCAGGUCUGCUGGGGGUCGGGGCCCCAGCCCGAGGGCCUGGCUGCACAGCCUCUCCCCGUUACAGGGCUGUUUUCUGGAGGGUUAGCCGUGUUGAGUUCAGAUCUCAGCUUUGCAGGCGAGCCUGGGGCAAGUCACUUGUCAGAGCGGUACAAUAACGGGGGUGACGACAUUCACCUUGCAGGGGUGCGCUGAUGGUCAAACAGUAACCCGAAAACUUGGCACCUGGGAAGCACUCAAUGAAUGAUGCUUUGGAGUAAAGCUGCUGGAUCUGUCAUAAAUCUCCGUCAUCGACUUGCCCAUCAACCAAGCAACACCUCUCGCCUCCCC